rnacentral:rRNA from 1 species
AUUGAACGCUAGCGGGAUGCUUUACACAUGCAGGUCGAACGGCAGCGCGGACUUCGGUCUGGCGGCGAGUGGCGAACGGGUGAGUAAUGUAUCGGAACGUGCCCAGUAGCGGGGGAUAACUACGCGAAAGCGUAGCUAAUACCGCAUACGCCCUACGGGGGAAAGCAGGGGAUCGUAAGACCUUGCACUAUUGGAGCGGCCGAUAUCGGAUUAGCUAGUUGGUGAGGUAACGGCUCACCAAGGCGACGAUCCGUAGCUGGUUUGAGAGGACGACCAGCCACACUGGGACUGAGACACGGCCCAGACUCCUACGGGAGGCAGCAGUGGGGAAUUUUGGACAAUGGGGGCAACCCUGAUCCAGCCAUCCCGCGUGUGCGAUGAAGGCCUUCGGGUCGUAAAGCACUUUUGGCAGGAAAGAAACGUCGCGGGCUAAUACCCCGUGGAACUGACGGUACCUGCAGAAUAAGCACCGGCUAACUACGUG